UUGAGGAAUAUUGGUCAAUGGACGAGAGUCUGAACCAGCCAAGUAGCGUGCAGGAUGACGGCCCUAUGGGUUGUAAACUGCUUUUACACGGGGAUAAAGUGUGCGACGUGUCGUUCAUUGCAGGUACCGUGCGAAUAAGGACCGGCUAAUUCCGUGCCAGCAGCCGCGGUAAUAUGGAAGGUCCGGGCGUUAUCCGGAUUUAUUGGGUUUAAAGGGAGCGUAGGCCGUCUGUUAAGCGUGUUGUGAAAUGUAGAUGCUCAACAUCUGAAUUGCAGCGCGAACUGAUAGACUUGAGUGCGCAGGAAGUAGGCGGAAUUCGUGGUGUAGCGGUGAAAUGCUUAGAUAUCACGAAGAACUCCGAUUGCGAAGGCAGCUUACUGUAGCGCCACUGACGCUGAAGCUCGAAAGUGCGGGUAUCGAACAGGAUUAGAUACCCCAGUAGUCC
rnacentral:rRNA from 1 species